GAACAUAAUUUGUGUGUAUGGCAAGUUGUAUAUAAGCAGUCUAUUUGUAUUUAUUUUUAUAUGAGGUACUGAUAUUGUUUAUUUCCCAAGUUUAUAAUUGAUGAUUUGAAUAACACCUUGGGAAAUGUAUUUUGCUGGUUGGGCAAGCAUUAGCUAUCAUCCAGCUGUGGUCCUGCAUGAACUCAGGUGUAUACUAUUGAUGAGAAUUCUGUUAAAACUUUUGGCUUUAGAACAGGAAAAUUCUCAUGAAGGUGAGUUCAUUACUCCUGAGCUUUGGAAAUCUCUCUGGACUCAUAUUUUUAAAACUGGUAAGUCCAGAGAGACAUCAAAAUUUGUGUUCACUGUUGAACUUGCUGAGGUAAAUAAAUUGUGAGUUGUGGUCUUGCCUUCAAAAAUUCCAAUUGAUACAGUCUUUUUACAUAAUUGGUACUUAAUCAAGUUGUAUUGUACAAUAGAUGUAUAUAUGAUUGUGUGUGGAUGUUUGUAGAGAUAGGAGGGUAAACUGGGGUGCGGAUUGAACACUCAUUUUGUGCUGUUAUCAUGGUAGUAUGAAAUACACAUGUUUUGUUUUGAAGUUUUAGGUAAAUAUGUAAUUUUGUUGAUAAAGAAAUUCAAUAUAAUGCUUUUAAAAUCAGUCUUUUAAAGUUCAGGAUUUAAAAAAAAAUAGGAUUUAAAAUCUAAUCCAGCACUGAGCCUUUAUCUUCAAAUUUGGCACAUUUAUAUUCAUCAAGGGGAGAUAACAAAAUAUUUUUGAUUUUUUUAUCUGAUAUCUGUACUUAUCUUUUUUAUAUGGAUAAAUAAGUUAAUCCUAUGUUAUUCUGUCAAUUUUUUUUUUUUUGAAUUUAAACUAUUCUAACAAAGUUACAUAUUGAUAUACUUGUAGACUAUUUUACACUGUUUUAAAUAGUGGUACAC
rnacentral:lncRNA from 1 species